GGGGAUACCGAGGGAGUGCUAAGUGGACUCAGGGGACAGUUACCAGUACAGGAGAUUUGGUUCUGCUUCCCGCCUUUUUUUGUUCUGUGUGUGUGUGUGUGUGUGUGUGUGGUGGUACUAGGGAGUGAACCAUGGACACCAGGGAUGGAAGCCAGCAUGACAUCCCAAAAGAUGAGAUGGUACCAGUUCAGUGACAGGAGUUGACUACCUUCUUGCAGGAGAGACCUGUGAGGAUCUAGAGACAUGCCCCACAUGUAAGGCCUUCUCACCAUCAAGAAUUACUGAUAAGACCCUGGAGAAAAAUUUACCUGAGAGCAGCCAUUUAAAUCAGUCCUGAUAAGGAGUUUAACUUAGUCUGAAUAUUAACUGGAAGAGAUUGAGGUAUUAUUUGACAAGUUUCAAGUUUCCUGGCUCUUUUUUAGGGUAGAUGUUAAUGAAGAAUUUUAGAUUAGUUAUCAAAUGAACAGCACAUGUAAAGGAGACAGAUUAGAUCAAUUAUAGAAAAUAAAGUAGCUACAUUUGAGUUUCAGUGUGAAUAAAUGUGAACAGGCAGUAAAGGAACUUAGGUUUAGUAAGAUGAUGGAGUCUGUCCUGGCUAAGGACUGAGCCUGGGGUAUAAGCAGGAGGAAAUAGCUUCAUGUCAUAGGUAAGAAGAAAUUCCAGAGAAGCCAACAGCAAUGGUGUAAGGUUUGAGACAACCAGGGAAGUGGUUGCUAAGUAAUUUGGCCUUAGAAGAUUUGCAAUAAUCUUCUAGGAGAGAAGAGUAAAUUUCUUAGUGAAAUAUAGGGUUAUUGGGAAGUCCUGAGGGUCCAUUUAAAACUUGUAAUCAUUUAUUUAAAGUAAGGAAUGCUUAUGAGGGUAUUGCUUUUUAAAUAUUCUCUCUCAGUGGCUAAUUUCUUGGCUCUGAGAAUUGGGUUUACCCAGGAUUGUCAGUUAGUGUGAUGGAUGAAGAGGGAGUAGUUGUUGGAAGUUGUAGGUAAGGGAGGAUAUAAUCAUGGAUCAUGGUUUCUAAAUUUAGGGAAUGGGGUCCUGAGGAGGGUGAUAGUGAAAUGUGGUAGAAUCAUUGGAUUACAGGUUCUGAUGUGGUCAAAGAUCAGGUGGAAUGGUCAAAAUUGGCUGAAAAAAAAAUAUACACACACACACACACACACAUACACUUAUAAGUAGGACAUGUAUUGGUAUAUUAAAGAAUGGCUGAGAUCUGGAAUAAGAAAAGCCUGGCAUGGUAUUGCAUUCCUAUAAUCUCAGAAUCUGAGAGGCUAAGGUAAUAGAUGAACUUUCUUCAAAUGAAGUUAUCAAGAAAGUUAGGCAUUGGGGUGAAUAGUUCAGCAAUGGCAGAUUUCUCACGUUGGCUUCUUGAUCCACGAUAGAGUAGUAAGAGCCAAAUGGAGACUGGGAAGCCCUCCCUGGCUCAAAUAAUAUACAAAAAACAUUACCUGGGUUGAUGGCUGAUUUGGGGAAAUGUACUGGUAACAGGUACAAGUCUUAUAGAUCCUCCUGAGGAGGCCUGAAGAUCAAAGGAGUAGUGAAAUCAUUUCAUAGGUAGAACCUUGAGAGAUGACUUUCCUGGGCGGGCUAAUAGUUUAUCUUAGACUCAAAGAUUUGGAAUGAAAUAAGGUGUAGGAAUUGAGAAUAAGGUGGUUUGAAGAGGGCAUUAUGGACAUGACUUCCAUUUUUCUUUUUAAGUGGGAGUUAUAAUUUCUGUUUCUUUUGCUUCUUCCUUUUCUUCUGCAAGGAGGUUUGGGAAAGAGCUGUAUGGCUGAACCCUGAACCUGAAAUCAUUUGGUCCUGUGAAUGCCACAGCAGAGGAUGUUCUUAAUCAGACAGGAUCACCUUCUUUGUGGAUAGCAGUAAGUUGUUCUCUUUUUCCAGACAACCUGGUGUUUUUUUCAGAGGGCUCAAGAACACAACGACUGUGGGAAAGGGCUAGAAGGUGGUGCCUGGAACUCAGCAGCUUAGACUUCUCCUAAAGCCAUUGUGGCUUCUAUUGGUACAGAGAACCUAAUUUGCUACCAGUAGUAAUUGAUCCUGGAUUCUCCAAAUGGCAACACACCUCAGGACAAACCAGUUGCUCUCUGGUUUUUAUUUUAUACCCUUUUGUCAUGAAGCAGUCAGUGAUUUGUUCUCUUUGGAAUACCCAUUUCAACUCCCCCUGCACUUGGAUUUGUCUUCUCUGCAUGUACUACCAUUUUUGAGAUCUAUUGAGAAUCUUCUGUAGAGCUGUGUUGCCUCAGAACCUCACAGAAAGAGAAUUGAAGCAGAGGACUAUUGCCUGCGGUUUCACCUGCUCUUAAUGUACACUGUCAUUUGAGGCAGCCCCUUUGCAUUCCAAAAAUUAAUGAAAUGAAUUUAAUAGGAGGAAUUUUAAAGAAUGUUAUUGAGGAUGCUGGUGCAUGUGGGUUAUGCCUAUUGAUAUUUAUAGUAUAAAAACUUAAUAAAACUGAAAAGUUUUGAAAUACAUUUAAAAAACAAGUACAUUACAUUUUAACAAAAAGUUUUAAAGAACAAACUAUCUAAAAUGAGAAAAUUUAGUGGGAAAAGUUACACUGCUUUACAUUUUUUCAUCUCUCUAAUGUCUGGCUUAAUAGAACACACUUGGAUUCUUGGAACUGUUUCUGCAUUCAGUGUAUUGCAGAAUCACAUGUCAAACAACUUCUGUCUAGUUGUGUGAGAAUGAGAAUCAAAGAGGUACUCCAGGGAAGAGAGAGGAAAAUACUUCCCAAACAGCCAAGAAAAAAGAUGUGCAAAUACAGGCUGGUGCAGAUCUCCCAGAGAAAUAGCUGGGUUUCUGCCCAGCUAGUAGUCAAUGGAGGGACGUUCUCCUGAACACUCACUUCUUCACAUGCCCUGCCUUUUUGGCUUUUUAGUGCCUUACUCUCAAAGGUAAUUUGGGAGUAUUUGGGGAAAGGCUCCAAAAAUAAUAUUCUUUUGUUUUUAAAAAAAAAAGGAAAUAGAGAAAGAUAAUAAAACCCUUGAGCUACAGGAUGCACCUGUAGCUCCAGUUACUUGGGAGACCAAGGCAGGGGGAUUGCUUGAGUCCAGGAGUUUGAAGCCAGCCUGGGCAACAUAUCAAGACCUUAGCUCUUAAAAAAAAAUGCCUGAAGAUAUUACUUAUGGAAAUUGAAGAAUAUAACAACUAAAAUGAAAACAGAGAAACUAAAUGUAAUUUUGAGGAAGUCUUCCAGAAAGCAGAACAAAGAGAUAAAAAAUUUGAAAUAUGAGAAAGAGGGUCCAAGAUGACAUAUUUGUAUAAUGAGAGUUCCAGGAGAAAACAAAAAUAAAUGGAAGAAAAGAAAUUAUCAAAUUAUUAAUAUAAGAAAAUUUCAGGAAAAGACAUGACUUUGAAGAUUGAAGGAAUCUACAAGUGCCUAGUACAAUGAAAACUGAAAAUAUGGAGAGAAUCCUAAAAGCUUCAAGUGACAAAAAAAUGGGCCAUAUAAAAAAGAAUAGGGAAUCAGAAAAUUCCCAAACAUUAUACCAGUAACCCUGGAGAUGAAAAGCAAAAGAGAAAUGCCCCAGAAUUCUGAGGAACAUUAUUUUCCACCUAGAAUUUUAUGUUGACCUACACACUAAUGAAGUAGGCAGUUAGGAAAAUAAUCUUGUUAGACUUGUAGGGUUUUAAAAAUUUGGCUAUUUUACCUUUUUUAAAAAAUUUUUAUUUAUUUUUUUUAUUCAUACAUGACAGUAGAAUGCAUUUUGAUAUAUAAUUCAUAUAUGGAUUGUACAUACAUCAAUCAUAUUGUCUAUUCUGUUCUGCUGCCCUUCCUAUCCUCCCUACUCCUCCCCUCCUCUCCCAUCCUUUCUCUCUAUCCAAUCUAAUGUGACACACUUUUUUUUUCUUUUUCUCAUUAUAACAUCAUAUGUGUAUUCUUUAUAACAAUGAGGUUCUCCUCCCAUCUUCUGUGCAACUCCCCUUCUCCCUCUUUUCCCUCCUACCUCUCUUCCCUAUUUAGUGGUAGUCUUCUUCUCAUGCUCUUCCUCCCUAUCCCAUUUUGAGUCACCCCCCCUUAUAUCAGAGAAGACAUUUGGCAUUUGUUUUUUAGAGAUUGGCUAACUUCACUUAGCAUAAUCUGCUCUAAUGCCAUCCAUUUGCCUGCAAAUGCCAUGAUUUUAUUAUUUUUUAGUGCUGAGUAAUAUUCCAUCGUGUAUAAAUGCCACAUUUUUUUAAUCCAUUCAUCUAUUGAAGGGCAUCUAGGUUGGUUCCACAUUCUAGCUAUUGUGAAUUGUGCUGCUAUAAAUAUUGAUGUGGCUGUGUCCCUGUAGUAUGCUCUUCUUAGGUCUUUUGGGUAUAGUCUGAGAAGGGGACAUUUUACCUUUUUUGAAGAAGCUAAUGGGACAGUGUUUCUUGAAGUGAUUUUAAAGUAACUGUUUGGUUAGGCAGUACUUUAAAAAGUAUUUUUUCAAGUUAGUUUCACUCCAUCAGCAAAAUAUUAGAAGUAUCUGUUUUUUCCUAUCCCUACUACCAGUGGUAUUUUAUUUAAAAUCUUUGUAAAUUCACUUGGUAAAAAUGGUAUUCUUUUGAUGUUUAAAUUGGCAUGGUUGUUUUAGUAAAAUGAGCAUUUCCCCAACAUGUUUGUUAGCCACUUAUAUUUAUUUCAUUUUGUAUUUUUUUUGCUGAAUUUUAUAUUAGAAUGACCUUAGUAUUCCCCUCCACCAAAACAACUGUCAUGUGUUUUAACUGUUGUAUAAUUAUCUUUUGUAAACUAGAUGAUUGUGCAUUCUUAUUAAGAUUCUUUUAGUUGAUUAAUAAUUUACUUGAUGUACAUACUUAUUUUCAGUGUUCUUCAUAACAUCAAGUAACUUCUUUAAGAAAAAUAACUGGGGCUGGGGUUGUGGCUCAGCUGUAGAGGGCUCACCUAGCACGUGCAAGGUGCUGGGUUUCAUCCUCAGCACCACAUAAAAAUAAAGGUAUUGUGUCCAACUACAACUAAAAAAAUAAAU
rnacentral:lncRNA from 1 species